rnacentral:rRNA from 1 species
GACGAACGCUGGCGGCGUGCCUAACACAUGCAAGUCAGGGAGAAAAGGGUAGCAAUAUCCUGAGUAAACCGGCGAACGGGUGAGUAACACGUAGGCAACUUACCUUGAGAACGGGAAUAACCCCGGGAAACCGGGGCUAAUACCCGAUGUUAUUCCGUUGUAGCAUUGCAAUGGAAUAAAAAGCCCGCAAAGGGCGUCACAAGAUAGGCCUGCGUCCCAUUAGAUAGUUGGCGGGGUAACAGCCCACCAAGUCGACGAUGGGUAGCUGGUCUGAGAGGACGAUCAGCCACACUGGAACUGAGACACGGUCCAGACUUCUACGGAAGGCAGCAGUGAGGAAUAUUGCUCAAUGGGCGAAAGCCUGAAGCAGCGACGCCGCGUGAAGGAUGAAAUCCGUUAGGAUGUAAACUUCUUUGCGGGGGAAGAAUGUGCGCCUUGGGCGCAUUGACGGUACCCCGUGAAUAAGCACCGGCCAACUACGUGCCAGCCCGCCGCGGUAAU